CAUGCAUCAGUUAUAUCAGUCAACACAGUUUUAUUCUAAGUCUAAUACUUGCAAGGUACUAUGAAGUAUGCACAAUGCCUACCUCAAAGAUGUUAUAUUAAAAAUGAGAGGAGCCAACUAAGGAUUCUAGGGACUAAAUGGUGCUUUGAAAGAUGGGUAGAGUUUGGAUUGGUGGUGGGAGAGAGAGAACACCCAGCAAGAGGAAUGGCGGAGGUGGAGACGCAGAGCUAUAUUUGGUAGACUGUGAACAGACUCACCUGCCUAGAGCAGUGUAUUCACAUUGGGAUUAUUAGAGUAAAGUGUGGACAAGAGGUAUAAUGCAGAGGUCUUAAUGUGUCAGGCUGGGGAAUGUACUUAGUAUUCUGUCUCUCAUGUGUCUCAAACCAGGGUCCUCAUUCACCUGUUGGUACUUGGUGACAAGGAUAAAAAGCUUUUCCCUACUCUGCUAGUUUUACUUCAAAUAAUGAAGGG
rnacentral:lncRNA from 1 species